CGAGGGUGGGUCAUCGUAGGACGCAAUCCGCGUCCGGAGAGGACGCCCACGACUCUUUCAUUCAUUUCGUAAAGGAAGAAAUUUCUCUCACAGAACUCUCCGCCGCUCUUUUGAUUAUUAUUUAUCUAUCGUUCUCCUCCUUUUAUUUUACGAGGAUAAACAAAAAAUAAAAUAAAAUAAUAAAUAGUCGAAAAUGGCAUCAAAAGCUUGGACGAUGCCUCCUCUAUCUUCGAAAGGCAUGGCGAAAUCAGCAACCCAAACCCCUCGGAGAUUGCAUACAGAGGCUUCCUCUGUCAAGAAGAAGAAUCUCACUCACUCAAUCGAGUUGCAGAGAGUCUCUCCAUAUUCUGCAGUAAUAGCCUCCAAAGAUUCUCACCCACCCGCUGCUGAGCAUUUGUCGGACUCGGUUGCUAGUCAUGGUUCUCGUCUCCGAGUUGCAUACCAGGGUGUUCCUGGUGCAUACAGUGAAUCAGCAGCUGCCAAGGCCUACCCAAAUUGUGAAGCAGUUCCCUGCGAACAAUUCGAAAUUGCCUUCAAUGCCGUUGAAAGUUGGCUUGUUGACCGGGCAGUUCUACCCAUUGAGAAUUCUCUAGGGGGGAGCAUCCAUCGGAAUUAUGAUCUUUUACUUCGAUAUGGGUUGCAUAUUGUUGGGGAAGUGACACUUUCAGUUCGGUAUUGCUUGCUUGCCAAUCAUGGUGUGAAAAUUGAAGACCUGAAGAGGGUUGUUAGCCAUCCUCAAGCUCUUGCGCAGUGUGAGAACACACUAACAAAGUUCGGGGUGGUCAGAGAAGCUGCAGAUGAUACUGCUGGUUCUGCACAAUUCGUUGCUGCCCAAAAACUCCAAGAUACAGGUGCAGUUGCGAGUUCUCGUGCUGCACAGAUCUAUGAUUUAAAUAUUCUUGCCCAAGAUAUUCAGGAUGACUCCGAUAAUGUAACUCGAUUUCUCAUGCUCGCUAGAGCUCCAAUUAUUCCGGGCAAAGACAGGCCAUUCAAGACAAGUGUAGUUUUUUCUUUAGAGGAAGGACCUGGUGCACUUUUCAAGGCGCUUGGUGUUUUUGCCAUGAGGAAUAUCAACCUUACGAAGGCAUAUUCUGACAUCUCUUUUCACUAAACAUUCUUUUUAUCUGUUAAUCUACCUGUUAGCUUUUAUUUUUCUCCCUUAAGAGUAUCCAGACUGUGAGUGCUCGUCCUUUAUUCUCUCUUCUUAUUCCUCAGAUUGAAAGUCGUCCGCUGCGGAAGAAGCUGCUGCGUGUACACGACUCCAGUAAUGGGAGUCCAAAGUACUUUGACUAUCUUUUCUAUGUGGAUUUUGAAGCAUCUAUGGCAGAUGAGAAUGCACAAAAUGCCCUUAGGCAUUUAAAGCUGGAGAUUGCUACGUUCUGUAGAGUUUUGGGGAGCUAUCCAGUGGACAUGAGUGAGGCUGGAACUACUUGAAGCCAGGAUAGGGAAUUGAACUGGAGUCUCCACAUGUGGAGUGAUGACUUUGAGAGGCGUGCUCUUAGAGAUUUGCUUGGGAGCGCACCACAUACCAUGUGAUCAUACCAUUUACCAAAGUCAACAGCGUACUUGCUAACCAUGGAAGCAUGUAGAUGAAUGUCUUAAUUGACAAGGAGAGGGGGCUUCCAUGUUCUGGUUUGUCAAAAUUUUGAGGCAAAUAAGGUUAGAAUUAUAGCUCAAGAUUUUUGUAGAAAAGAAGUUUGUAAGAUUCAAUAUGUAAGCAUUGGUUAUCUUUAUGAAUUGAGAAUUGCAUUGAUUUAUCCACCACCUUUUGAAUAAUAACAUCAUGCCUGCCCAUUGGCAGAACAUAGCAUUCUCAAA